UUUUUUGCGUACAUGUUUAUGUACAGUGCUGAUUCUAUUUAAACAUCCCAGGGACGCAACUAUCACUUCCUGUUUAAUCUCUGGAUAAUUUCCAUGAAGAAGCUAUGGUUAGUUAUAUUACUUUCAUUUUAGUACAACCGACAUAUAUAUGUGUGUUUAAGAUAACUCCUGUCACAUCUGUAGCCAGAUUAGCAAAUGAUUCUUACAAUUUUCUAUACAGUUUCCUACUUUUCUGUUCGAAAUAUUUUAGUACGGAAAUUUCGGACAGUGCAGAUUUCGGACAGAACAUAGAUCUAACAAUUGUCAAUAACAAUUGUGUUAAUUGUCAAGCUAUAAAACCACUUUGAUUGGUAUUAUUAGUUAAGUAUGUUCUUUUGUAGACAUUUCAAUGAAGUUGCUACAGUAUCUAGGUGAAAGACAAGUGUUAAUAGUGUGAAAUCAACAUGGCAACAUUAUAAAUAUGUCAUAACCAGAAACUCGAAGUAAGAAAUAAUCAGUUUUAAUAGAGCAGGAAGACUCGUUAUUAAUUCACAAAGGUAUAAAAUGAAUAAUACACAAAAUUAUUAUCCUAAAUAAUUCAUACUAGUUACGACAAUUAUAUUACGGUAUAACAGAUAGUCACAUCAUGAAUAACAUUACUUCAUCGAUUAAGUAACAGUGACCAUUAACAGCUAGAUAACUAAUAUGAAUACUACGAAUCCGCCAGAAAGAAAGACAUAUAAAAGACAAUACAACCUAUAUAAUACAAGACUAUACAAUUAUAUAUGAAGGCAAGCAUUAUACACAGAAAUGAUUAACCCCUGCAUAUACGUUUAGCAGUAUACAUUGAAAGCUUAAACAAAGUCAACAAAUGUACAUGUACAUAAAGCGGAAGACAUUCAUUAACAAAGGACAUGGCAAAAGAAACAAACAAAAUACAAGCAUACAAUACACACAAAUUAGAAAAAAGGGUGGGAGGGAGUUCAAAUUUUUCCUAAAGCGUCAAUCAACAAACGUGACUAACAAAACUGUAACCAAAAUAGCACCAAAAACGACUAUUUAUAAGAAAAGGCGUAUUAAUACAAAUACUAUGGAAACUGUCAAGCGUGAAAUUUUAACCUAACAAGGACCAAUGAGAAAGCCUGUUAUAUAUCCAUAAUUAAAAGAUUUUAUUUAGCAACAAAAUGCUUCAGUUAACCUACAGUACAGUGCUGUAAUGGGAAUGCAAAUGAAACUGCAGCACUGUUGUUUGGUAAAGCAUGUACAUGUAUGCGAAAUGAGCAUCUUUAGAUCCAAUUUGGCGGAUCACAGUGACAUGAAAAGAGGAUUGUAAACAAAGGACAAGUAACUUGUGCAGACAGAUAUAAGGCAGCAUGAAUAGUUAGUACUUGGUGCAUCUGCUGAUCAAUGUGUUUGUAAAAGAGGACUUUAACAAUGAUGAGGCUGUAUACCACCAGGAUUACUGCUGAAUGAUAGACGGUUUACAGCUAAACUUUCCUAUGAUUGGAAUCAAUAUCCAGGGACAGCUCUCCCUUACAGGGGCCAAGUGUUGUAACCUUGUUAUAUGGCCAACAAAGGAUAGUUAAGAAGAAAGCUAUAUAGACUAUUAAACAUUUCAUUAAUUUACCAAUAUCUGUAAGGUCUUUAUAUUGAAUAAGGUACAUUCUGUAUAAUUUAAUACAUUCCAUAAUAACUUUGUUUCUACAUGCACAUGAAUAAAAAUAACACUUAAGUAUGGUCACAAAGGGACAGUCAGUGAUCUACAAUUAUUACCCUGAAUGCAUGUAAGAAGCUUUAUAUGAAUGCUUUUAAUGAUUAAUGAAAACAUAUACAUAGGUUAAGGUCUUUAAGUUGUUUCUGAAUAUAUACUUUGGAUAGUACAUGUAUGUACUGACUGUAUAUUCACUUGUCUUAAGUGUCAAAACUAUAGCUAUUCAUGUAUGUCAAAAUCAAAUAUCUAUAUUUCUUGAAGUGAUAACUUUACUGAAUCAUUCUCUUGAAUAACAUUAUGAAAUGUUUGAUUCAUGUUCAAAACUUGAAAGGAAUACACAGCAAAAUGAUGUUCUUCUCUGUAUUCAAUUGGAUUAAAGUGACUUUACAAAAACAAAGAUUUAUGUGUUACAAUUCAUCUGAAAGUAAAAUAACAUGAGAUAAAUCAAUGUAACAUAUGUGUUUAUAUUGAUAUUUAUUGAUUUAUUGUUACUUGAAUGCAUUAAAAAAUUUUGGGAUGAAUAUUAAAAACACAAAGAAAAUAACACAAAAAGGACAAUAAUUAAAAUAAACAAUUGUAAAGCUGUGAAACUUUCUACAGAAUUCCCUGAAAGUGGCAUUUUAUCUUUAAUGUCCUCAGUUUAUAAUCAUCUUUGUCUUAACUGCUCUUGUCUGAAUAGUACUCUGUGUCUGUUAAAACAUAAUGAUUAUUUUUAUAUUGUUAUGUAGUUUCAAGAUUGUUUUCUAGUAGAUAUGUACAUUAAUUCUCAACAGGUAUCAUAAAGAAUUAAUAUGAAUUAGAAAAAUUUGUAGCAUGUCAUUUCAAUGUCAUAAUUUACUGUCUUAUAUUUAUUUAUUGUCAUACUGGAAUAAUAAUAAAUGAC